GUGUCAGCAGCCGCGGUAAUACGUAGGUGGCAAGCGUUGUUCGGAAUUACUGGGCGUAAAGCGCGUGUAGGCGGCUCUUCAAGUCAGACGUGAAAGCCCCGGGCUUAACUCGGGAACUGCGUUUGAUACUGUCGAGCUAGAGUGUGGAAGGGGCGAUUGGAAUUCCGUGUGUAGCGGUGAAAUGCGUAGAUAUACGGAGGAACACCAGAGGCGAAGGCGGAUCGCUGGGCCAACACUGACGCUGAGACGCGAAAGCUAGGGGAGCAAACGGGAUUAGAUACCCUAGUAGUCC
rnacentral:rRNA from 1 species